rnacentral:rRNA from 1 species
CAGUCGCCACGGGAAUACAGAGGGUGCGAGCGUUAAUCGGAUUUACUGGGCGUAAAGCGUGCGUAGGCGGCUUCUUAAGUCGGAUGUGAAAUCCCUGAGCUUAACUUAGGAAUUGCAUUCGAUACUGGGAAGCUAGAGUAUGGGAGAGGAUGGUAGAAUUCCAGGUGUAGCGGUGAAAUGCGUAGAGAUCUGGAGGAAUACCGAUGGCGAAGGCAGCCAUCUGGCCUAAUACUGACGCUGAGGUACGAAAGCAUGGGGAGCAAACAGGAUUAGAGACCCCUGUAGUCCCUGUCUCUUAUAA